UGGGGAAUAUUGGACAAUGGGGGCAACCCUGAUCCAGCCAUGCCGCGUGUGUGAAGAAGGCCUUUUGGUUGUAAAGCACUUUAAGCAGUGAAGAAGACCUAACGGUUAAUACCCGUUAGCGAUGACAUUAGCUGCAGAAUAAGCACCGGCUAACUCUGUGCCAGCAGCCGCGGUAAUACAGAGGGUGCAAGCGUUAAUCGGAAUUACUGGGCGUAAAGCGAGCGUAGGUGGCUUGAUAAGUCAGAUGUGAAAUCCCCGGGCUUAACCUGGGAACUGCAUCUGAUACUGUUAGGCUAGAGUAGGUGAGAGGGAGGUAGAAUUUCAGGUGUAGCGGUGAAAUGCGUAGAGAUCUGAAGGAAUACCGAUGGCGAAGGCAGCCUCCUGGCAUCAUACUGACACUGAGGUUCGAAAGCGUGGGUAGCAAACAGG
rnacentral:rRNA from 1 species